CCCACUAGAAACCGGGUCUCACCGAAACAGACUGGAAGCUUUUAAACAAUCGCCAUUUUGGGUUCCUACUUGCCAUUCCCAAUUCUCUUUUGCAUUCAAGCUUCCACCUGCUGUUAUCAGCUUCUCAUUCGCCUCCCUCUAGCUCUCACAUACUUCGCCGACGGUGAGGGUUGGAGAUUGACUCUCCGGCGUUUCACUUCUCACUUCCGGUUCGGAAUUUGAUUGCGUUCACUCAACACGGACAGACGAUACAAAUGACACAGAGUUAUCGCUUUCUGUUUUGACUCUUGAUUCUGUUACUCAAGCUUUGGCUCCGGUGACAGUUGGAUAAUUGUAGUUCCGGCAGUUUAAGGUCAUUGCUUAUCAGCCAUUUAACACAACCAUCUCUAAGGGCGGCGGGUGCGUGGGUAUCAUUGCUUGUCCGCCAUUUAACACAACCAUCUCUCUUAUAAUGAUAAUUUCAUCCUGGGUUUGUUUCUAAUGCUUUUUUACCCCCUUUCCUUCCAUUGUAUGUCUUACUGCAAAUGAUUCACUGGACUUUAAUCAUUUGAUUGUAAUGACUACAUGUUUUGUGUUAUGGGACGCCCUUAGAGUGGAUUGCAAUGUAUUUAUGUAAAAUUUCGUAAAAGAGAGAGAUCAGAUACCAAUUACCAGCAGUGUCAAUCACUCAGAAGAUUUACUUUAAACAUUCAUUUUCUGGUUGUAUCUUCAACUGUUAAUGAUCUUUAUCUUUGAACCAGUUUAAUUGUGAACUUUAUGCCCAAACUGUUAAUAUUGAUAUGGAACGUUAGUAGUAAUAAGAUACUUAGGAAUAGGAUAUUCAAUCAUUCACAUUCAGUUUUCCUGUGUUCAAGUGGCUAGAGCUGGACUUUGAUUAAAAAAAAAGUAUCUAGAGCUGGAAUUUGGUAUUGAUGUUAUGUUGGCUGGAUUAUCUUGGUUGAAGUCCAGAGUUCUAGAGUAGGUUUUUAGGAGCUGAUAUUUUAGCUAUGCCCUUAAAGCCCAUUUUGUUCCUUUUCAAACAAGGAGGGAUCAUUUGCUGCUACUCCUUGGCACCCUGUAUGCAUGAUUGUUGCAUCGGGGUCUACUCUAUGAGUAAUUGCUUCAAAUGCCGGAGAGGAAAUGGAAAUGGUAGAAUUGAAAUGGCUAAAUCAUAUUUUGGCCCUUAUUUGGAAGAUUGAGAAGUGGUUUGUCUUCAACCUUUUGAAUGGGAUUUCUUUGUCCCCUAUUCGUCAAUUUGAUGUCCAUGGCUUGCUGCCUGUCUCUUGCCAGUGCUGCUACUUUAUCUCAAAUCUCCUGAAGUCAAAGUCUUCAAGCUUACACAUCUAACUUGAAGGGAUAAAAGAGGUUAAUUUUGCCAUGGAGAGCUUUGAUGAGAAGGAUGGAGUUUUUGGGAAUUAUAUGCCGAAAGAACUAAGUAUGAGUAUAGCCAAUGGUACCAAAUUUGUAGAUGAAGUACUAAGUGGUCAAAGUGACCGUUGUCUGGAAAAUUUCCGCAUGGAUAAGCAGGUGUUCUACAAGUUAUGUGAUAUUUUGCAAGCCAAGGGCCUACUACGCCACACAAAUAGAAUCAAGAUUGAGGAGCAGUUAGCCAUAUUCUUGUUCAUUAUUGGCCAUAAUCUACGCACUCGAGCUGUCCAGGAGUUAUUCCGAUAUUCAGGAGAAACCAUUAGUCGCCAUUUCAACAAUGUUUUGAAUGCUAUUUUGGCAAUUUCAUUAGAUUUCUUUCAGCCUCCAGGAUCUGAUGUGCCACCAGAAAUCUUGGGAGAUCCUAGAUUUUAUCCAUACUUUAAGGUAAAGCUAUUGUAGUUUGAUUUCAAUCUCUUCUCUGAGGGUCAUCUCUAUCUCACUUUAAAAAUUUUAUAUCUAGGAUUGUGUGGGAGCAGUCGAUGGCAUACACAUUCCUGUUAUGGUUGGUGUGGAUGAACAGGGGCCCUUCCGUAACAAGAGCGGAUUACUUUCACAAAAUGUUCUGGCAGCUUGUUCAUUUGACCUGAAAUUCCAUUAUGUUCUAGCUGGCUGGGAAGGCUCAGCAUCAGAUUUGCGAGUUCUAAACUCAGCUCUUACAAGGCGCAACAAGUUGCAGGUCCCUGAAGGUAAGUACUAUAUUGUGGACAGCAAAUAUGCAAAUAUGCCAGGUUUCAUAGCCCCAUACAAUGGGAUUCCUCAUCACUCAAAUGAGUAUUCCAGUGGUUAUCAUCCUCAAGAUCUUAGAGAACUAUUCAAUCAAAGGCACUCUAUGUUGAGAAAUGCCACUCAUCGUAUCUUUGGUGCUCUGAAAGCACGCUUCCCUAUAUUGAUGUCAGCUCCCCCAUACCCUUUACAAACACAGGUUAAGUUGGUUGUAGCGGCAUGUGCAAUACACAAUUUUAUCCGUGGGGAGAAACCAGAUGAUUUGAUUUUUGGAAUGUAUGAACAGGAUAACAUGAUAGAAAUUGAAGAAUCAUUGCCCCCAUUAGAUGUGGAACAGUCAAUGAUGCAAGUUGAGAAGGAGGCUGUGGACAUUGCUUUUGAGACGGAACAGCUCGAGUUUAGUUCACAAUUGCGUGACUCUAUUGCGAGUAAUAUGUGGGAUGACUAUAUCAGUGAUCUGUCAGUUAUGUAGAUGGAUUCACUGCGGUUUUAGUUUCAGGAUUGGGAAUUCUUUUCAAGAUCAUUGGCCUUAUAAAAUUUUUGAAUUUGAUCUUGAUCAUGGUGUACAUUGGCACACCUUUAGUUUGUUAAUAUAGCAAAGAAAUAUAUUGGUAGAUCAUAACUUUACAAGUGCUUGCUGUACACAAACAUUUGUGAGCAACUGUAUGAUAGGGUUAAAGUUAUGAUAAAAGUUACAGAAUCAUAUUGACAGAUUACUAUUAAGUUGGAGGAUUUUUGGUGCAAUUGUAUCUUCUGGCUUUGAAGAAUUUCUUUCAACUUUAGUUUCUUGUUGGUUUGCAGAGACAGCGACGGAUUUGGCUGUUUCUUCUUAUUUCAUGCAACUGUUAUAUUUACAACAGAUAGAUUCAUUUUCUGUAUUUAGUUUAUUUAGUUUCUAUAAUUAAAUCUUUAGCAA
rnacentral:misc_RNA from 1 species